rnacentral:rRNA from 1 species
AAUAGCCUUUUAAUUGGAGGCUGGAAUGAAUGGUCGGACAAGAUAUGAGCUGUCUUAAAUUUAAUAAAUAGAAUUUAACUUUUAAGUGAAAAGGCUUAAAUAAAUUAAAGUGACGAUAAGACCCUAUAAAGCUUUAUAUUGAAAAAUUAAUUUUAUAUUUAAGGUGUAAAUUUUAUUUUUUAAAAAAUAUUACAUUGGGGCGAUGUAGAUUAAAUUAAUAACAGUUGUUUAAAGAAAAUAAUUAAUAUUUAGGCAUUUGAGAUCCUUUUUAAAGAUUGUAAGAAAAAGUUACUUUAGGGAUAACAGCGUGAUUUUUUCUGAGAGUUCAUAUCGACGAAAGUAGUUGCGACCUCGAUGUUGAAUUAAGAUUACUUUAAGGUGUAGCCGCUUUAAAUGAAGGUCUGUUCGACCUUUAAUAUCUU